GGGAAAGAAAAGCGAAGGUGUUAUUGAUUACGCUGAUCUUAACGUGUAAAUGGUCAGAUCAAAUGACGAAUGGAAAAACAAGAACAUUAUCGUUUCAAUUUAAAGCUAAAUGUUCCACAUCAACGAAGUAUUUUUAUUGUCUGCAAAAGAGGUUUAUGGGAAAGCAAUUGGCAAGAAGGAAAUCAAUGAUACCACAAUUCAAGAUCCUCUUUUAUGUAUGUUUUAAUUUGAGGCUCUUAAGCAAGUUAGAUUAAGUAACCAAGUUGGAUAUUACAUGGCCAGAUUGCUAUGAAUUUUCAUUGGAUUUUGCAAUGUUAUAUAAUUAACUAUUUCUGAAUUGAAGAUUAAAUUCCUAAGAACGCAA